ACAAACUCGAGCCACCCUCUAAGUUUAUGCUUCAUUCUUUGACCUCGUUUAACGUUGUUUUUUGCUUCUCUGCAGAUUUUGAUAGCCUAAGCUUAGGAUCUAUGUCACUGAGUUUCUGACUAUGUUUCUGGAAGUUAUUCUGGAUGAUCCAGCCCGUCUACGUUCUGUGGAUUCUUAUCCUGUCUUCUGCCUUCAUUUGGAUUCACAUCAAGCUGGCAGCUUCCUGCUCUCUUCAUCUCCUGAGCCAAGCCACAAGCGUACCCUGUCCACCCUCCAACGUAAGCCACCGCACAUCGAACUUGUUCCUUUGUUCCGAGCUCACACAGAACAGCACCAAGUGAACUACAGAUAUCCCUGCUUAAGACCUGGAUCCUCAAUCUCAUUCCCCCUGGCAACCUGACCACCAUUACUCAUGAGAUUUUUGUCCGUUUAGUUCCUGAUUACAUCAUCAAUAAAACAGUCUUUAUUUUA